UACCAGCUGGCAAGAAGGAGAGGUCGUUCGAUUCCAGUUGCCUAAAAUAUUACGACACGGUGACAGAGAAUGGGGAAAAGUUUUUUUUUAACAGGCCAAAAUGUAUUUUUAAACUGGAAUUUAGCACAACAAAAACUUAUAAAACACAAUUCUAAUUCUACGUAGGUACAGAUAUAUCUCAAAGGCAUCACUCGUCAUAAUAUCAAGAAAAGAGAAGUGAGAUUGGACAAGCCGCGAAAAACGCCUCUUGCUAGGAUUUCUAUGCGAUUGCCAUAGAGAAUAAGACGUUCCAAAGACGUAGAAUUGUUGAAUAAUCCAGACGCCUCAGCACAUCAGCGGGGACCAAUUGCGUCGGGGGUAGAUACAGCAGAUUGUAUCUCCAGCAGGACACC